GAUGAAGAACGCAGCGAAAUGCGAUAAGUAAUGUGAACUGCAGAAUUCAGUGAAUCAUCGAAUCUUUGAACGCACAUUGCGCCCGCCAGUAUUCUGGCGGGCAUGCCUGUUCGAGCGUCAUUUCAACCAUCAAGCCCCGGGCUUGUGUUGGGGACCUGCGGCUGCCGCAGGCCCUGAAAUGCAGUGGCGGGCUCGCUGUCACUCCGAGCGUAGUAGUUACAUCUCGCUCUGGGCGUGCUGCGGGUUCCGGCCGUUAAAAGCCUUAUUUACCCAAGGUUGACCUCGGAUCAGGUAGGAAGACCCGCUGAACUUAAGCAUAUCAAUAAGCGGAGGA
rnacentral:misc_RNA from 1 species